rnacentral:misc_RNA from 1 species
AUUAAAGUGGCGACUCCUCACUUCUCCACUUCGAUGAGAAUCGUCUAGCGACCGCAAAACCCUUGCGACAAACAUUCACUAUCUUCCUCAAAGGACAAUCACUUGAACGAUGCCCUUGCUAGUUGCACUUAAAACACUUCCCAUAGAUCGGUCUAGCAUAAGGAUUGGCGGCUUUAGGCAUCUCUUUCUCCUUUCCUUCAUUCAUGAGACGCUUUCUAGCUACUUUCUCUUCUUGAACAAACUCCUUGCUAGUGCAGUUGAUACCACCAUAAGCAUUUGUUUUAGCUCUGGCGCCUGAACUUGUAGCUUUAUCAGAAUCAAGACUCCUCCAUUGCAUCAUCUCCACCUUCAAGGCCAUAUUUUUAGCCUCGGAUAAGGUCCGCAAUACUUGAUCUCCAAUCCGGUCCUUGAUGGACGACUUUAAUUCCUUCAAAUACCUUGCAAUCUGCCGCCCUUCGGAUUCAUGAAGGUUGUUUCUUUUAGCCAACCUCAUAAAUUCAACUGUGUAUUCAUGAACCGUUCGGCUACCUUGUUGGCACCUUUGGUAUUGUUGGAAGAGAAUUUGCUCAUAAUCUGAAGGCAAAAACUCUUGUUGUAGCAAAUACAUCAUCUGGUACCAAGUUCGAACCAGUCCCUUACCUUCUCGCUCCCUCCUAGAUUGCAAUCACUCUCACCAAGCAGAGGCUCUACCCUUCAAACAAAUCUGGUAUGUAUUUUUUCUUAUCAUUUUCUUCUUCUUCUUCUUCU